AUGGUUUGGUGAGGGACGUAACAGUAUCUAUUCUUAUCAGUUUAAUAUCUGAUAUGUGGGCCAUUGGCUCACAAGAUAUUAAAUUAAUUUUUUAAGGGGCAGAGCCCAUUCCAGUAGCUUGCUAUUGGGGCUCUCAGGCAUGGCCCUGGUGUUGCACUGCUGCUUGGGCCUGGUGCACCCUAC
rnacentral:snRNA from 1 species